CGAAAUCGUCGCUGCACGCUGAGACCGGCCGCAAACACUGCGAAGCGUUCAGUCUGGACGGAGCGUCUCCCGUAUUGGAGGAGAAGGAGCGUAACGAUAAGAAGGCAGCCUACACGGGAACGUGGCUCACCGACCACUAUCAGGAGAUGGGCAAGGGCGAGAGAAAACAACUGCGACUCUUCUUUCAGAUCCAAGACCACGGCUCCGUCUUCACGACCAUCCAGUGCAAGUUCUACCGCGACAACGACAAGCAGCACGGCAGCUGGGGCGACGCGUUCAACAGCAUCGAGUACGAGUUCCUAUACAACGACGAGACGGACAGCAUCGACAUAUUGAAAGAGAAUUUUCGUUAGCAACGAGGAAGAAAACCUCGAGCGACGGCUCAACGCUGUGUCGCUGUAGAAACAACGCGUCGCUCGCUCGCAUCGAACUGCGUACGAAUCGUCGUCGCUACUCUACAACGCCGCUGCGUUGAAGCCGAUGCAGCUACGAUGGUAAAAAUGUUGAUUCGAGAGAUUAUUGCUGUAUUGUGAGUGUAACGAAGUAGCCUGUGGGUGCCUACUUACAUACAGGGUUAGAUAAGUAGAAAAGGCUAUAAGAGCUAGGGCCCUGCUACUAUAGCCCCGCGGUCAGGCAGAAGUCAUCACUCCCCAAAUUUGUAUCGAUACAAUUCAAAAUGUGGUUAACACUAUGAAUGACACUGUCCAUAGCGCAGUCGAAAGGUAGAAGCCCACUCUGUAUCGAGCCCGUCUAUACUGUGGCUUAUAUUUGACAAAAUUAUAUUUUUUAUAGCUCGUGUGUCGUGUAAACGAAAAAUCGCCCUGCUUUCGCUGAAGACUGUCGAAAUGUUUAUUUUGUUUUUCGAGUAGUAAAAACGCUAUAUUAGGCAAUUAAAGCUAUUCGUUGUGCCUGUAGAAGAACAAAAGGAAAGUCUUCUCAAUUUAAAAAAUAAGUAUUGCGUGUUAUAUAUAAUUAUAUAUGUGAAACAUUGCGAGUGGUCAUGUUUAUGUUUAAUGUACGCGACACUUCGUUCCUUCUAUACGCGUAUGCACACUACAGAUCGAUAACUGCUUCCCAGCCACUAGGCAUGAAAACGGUUUAUGCACGCACGUAACCGCAUUAUUUAUUUGCAUCAUUGUCGCAAAAGUAAUAGCAGUUUUGCAGUGAUUUUCUAUCGCCGCUGAUUUCAUUUGCAUUCAUUAUUUUGCGAACUGCCGUGAAUGAGAGAUUAGCCUGUGCUGUA